rnacentral:rRNA from 1 species
GCAACUAUUCGCCGAAGGGUUUGACGGUCGGUCACGCCGCAAAACAAAACCUCAUUUCUAAGGUUGACCUCGGAUCAGGUAGGGAUACCCGCUGAACUUAAGCAUAUCAAUAAGCGGAGGC